CCGCUUCCGCCGCAGCCAGCCUGGGGCUGGGGGGGCGCCCACGCAGGGGGUCGGUGGCUCCGCAGCGCAGGCCGUCCUCCACCCAGCUCAGCCCGAACUGAAACCUCCCGGCGGACCACCCCCCGCCCCGGGCAGAGUUCGCGACAGGGGGCAGGUUAAAAGAGGCUGUGGGCCGAGGACGCCUGAAGCGCUUGCAGGACACCAGGGACCCAGGGUGGUCUGUUACCAGAAGAAAGAGAAAGGGAUGCUAGACAGGCCCAAACUGCAUAUCUACUACAGUAAGGAUUCUCAAAAUUUUGGCGAAGAGCUGUAAGAAAAGACUUCAAAGAAACUUUAUGGGACGUGCUUAAAAUAUACUUCUUCCAUAAGACCAAGCAUCAGUGGCACACUAUUUUUCCCUUUUUUAUAAUUAAUAUAAAUUUAAUUUGCAGUAUCCACCUUCACUGCCACUUUUUACUGUUAAUUGAAGGCUAACAGCAUAAUUUAUCCAAGAUUUAAUCUCCAAUUCAUAUUGUUGCAAUUACCACAUCCUUAAUGACAACUUUACCUUGUGUAUUAGCUGUCUCUUGCUGCAACAAAUUACUGCAAAACAUAGCUUAAGACAGCAACAAAUAGGGCAGCCAGGGUGGCUCAGCGGUUUGGCGCCUCCUUCAGCCCAGGGUGUGAUUCUGGAGACCCGGGAUCGAGUCCCGCGUCGGGCUCCCUGCAUGGAGCCUGCUUCUCCCUCUGCCUACAUCUCCGUCUCUCUCUCUCUGUGUCUCUCAUGAAUAAAUAAAUAAAAUCUUAAAAAAAAAAAACAGCUACAAAUGAUAAGAUGAUAAACAUCUCACCAUUUCUGUGAAUCAGGAAUUCAGGAGUUUUGCUGCGUGAUUCUGGCUCAGUCUCUCAUGAGAUUGCAAUCAUCCGAAGACAUUUUUCUAAGGCGUGGCUAAUGCCAAAGAUGUGAGUCUAAGCUGGCUGACGCGGUCGUCGGCAAGAGACCCAAGUGACUUGCUGGCUGUUGGCUGAAGGCCUCAGUUACUUGCCACUACAGCAGAAAGAUGAAGCUUGGAGGCACCUUGAAUACUCUAGCUGGAAAUCUUCGUUAGUAGGCACAUCUUCCUGUAGGCCAGUGCGUUGCUGGCUUCCUGCCAGGGUGACAAGGAUCACAUCAUCUCCAGGCUCCAGCAAGAGUUUCCUCGCUCUCCUUAGUGUAACCGAGCCUCCUCAGGUCUAUAUCCUUCUACUAACAGUCUUUUGAAGGCAGGUCAUGAUUUCACUAAUACUGUCUUCAAAAUCAUUCCAGCUUUUGUCCCCUGCCUGAGUCCAAGAGCACUCCUGCAUUUUAGGUGUGCGUUAUGGCUGCACCUGACUUCCAGGGAUCAAAAUAGUUGUUUUUAACCUAUUGCUGUCUGACACAUUAACAACACUUAAAAGAUGUAUACAAACACAAUUUUGAUAGAUGGUGCCAAGUUUCUUUCCAAAAUAGGUAACAGUGUAGGAGAAUAUCCAUUUCCCCACAACUUCAUAUCACAAUGUUGUUAAUCUUUCCCAAUUUGAAAACAUGUUUUAAUUUGUGCUUCCUUGAUUACUCAUGAAGUUGAAUAAAAUGACCAUUUUAUAUAUUCUUCCAGUAAGAGCUUUUUUCAUAUCCCUUGGGUUUUCUUUCUUUAAUGAUUUGUGUGAAUGUUUUAAAAAUUAUGGACAGUAAUCUCUACUGUAUAUUGCAAAAAUGUUCUACCAGUCCCUCCAUUUUCUUUUGUCUUUACGUGACAUUUUGUCUUAAAGUGGUUUUAACUAUUUUUGAGCUCUUAUUUUUCAGGCAGCCUGGGUGGCUUAACAAUUUAGUGCCACCUUCAGCUCAGGUCAUGAUCCUGGGGUCCUGGGAUUGAGUCCCGUGUCAAACUCCCUGCAUGGAGCCUGCUUCUCCCUCUGUCUGUG